rnacentral:lncRNA from 1 species
CAAAACCAACUUGAACAACAUAGUAAGAACCCAUCUCUACAAAAAAUUAAAAAAUUAAAAAUUUAGCCUAGGCACAGUGGCGUGUGUCUGUAGUCCUAGCUACUUGGGAGGCUGAGGCAGGAGGAUCGCUUGAGCCCAGGAGUUCCAGGCUGCAGUGAGCUCAGUGGGUUUGCUCUUGACUGUGCCAUUGGUAUUUAUUUGCCAGUGAGUGUGUGGGGAGGAGGUGCCUCUUUGGAGGUGUGGAGAUGGAUCUUGGCCAGGUGGACUGGGAUGUCUACAUGCAGGACGGAGCAGCCCCUGGACGUGUGCAACAGACCAGGCUUGGGAAGAGUAAAGCUGGACCUGAGACCUACUAGCUCCACGUCUUCAUGUCUGACAUGGAAUUCCAAGGAGCCUGUGAAUUUUAAUCUGAAUAUGGGCUUCCAGGUCAUUAUGAAGGAACAUUAUGGCCGGGGAAUGGCUGGUUACGAGUCUUUUGUUUGAAAGGUUUAAUCUUUGCUUGUAGAUCUAGCCACUUACCACGAGGUGGCAAUAGCAACCUGCACAACGAAUGCCAAGCUCCAAGCAAGGUGUGGAUUCUCCACUGAUUUCCUGGGCCGAAGAAUUUUCCUAUGUUUUAGAAAUAUUGUGAUGAAGUUUCAUUUUUAUGUGAUGAAAAUGUUUUAAAAUUGAUUGUCGUGAUGGUUGCACAACUCUGUGAACGGACUAGGAGCCAUUGGAUUGUACACUUUAAAUAGGUGAAUUGUAUAAUAUGUAAAUUAUAUCUCAAUAAAGCUGUUAUAUAUAUAUGUAUAUAUAAAUAUAUAUACAUCUGUGUGUGUGUGUGUAUAUAGUUAUCUCACCCAAGAUCCUGCCUCCAGAAAGACCCACAUUAAAUAGAUCCUGAUGGAUCUCCCUGGUUCAAAAAUAAAUGGUAUUUUGUUUAUUUCUAAAAGUGAAUAGUAUUGUAAAUGGUAGACCUAUGGAUAUUUCUCUUUUUAUAUAUUUCUUUAUUUAAAAAUAGAAAUGCCCAUGAAUGUUACUUUCUUUUAAAGUUGGAGAGGAAUCCUUUAUCCUACUCUGUGGUCAGUGUUAUCUGAGGAUCUUUGCUAUCAAAGAAGCUGAAAUGGAGCCAAAUUGUGAAAAGAAGAUUAGUGACAGGACUAACAAUUGCAAAGAAAGAUCACAUAAAUAGUCAAACAGGAAAAGCCAAAUCACUGCCUUGGGCCUUGAAAGAGAUUAGUUGGGUUUUUGUCUACAAGAAAAGAUAAAUAUUGUUGGAAUUAAAUCUCUCUCUCCUCACUGCCCCCAACCCACCCCCACUGCACCGCACUUGGCCACGUGUGACUCCUGAGGAAUACCUGCAAUUGUAAGACCAGGAGUAUAUCAGGUUCAUGCAAAUAGACAGUCCACUGGAACAUGUCCUAGUUAGGCAAUCACUGAAAUUAUAUUGCAACUCUGGAGGGGAAAUGUUGAUGGG